rnacentral:rRNA from 1 species
GACGUAGGGCGCGAGCGUUGUCCAGAUUUAUUGGGCGUAAAGAGCUCGUAGGCGGCUUGUCGCGUCGACUGUGAAAACUCGGGGCUCAACUCCGAGCUUGCAGUCGAUACGGGCAGGCUAGAGUUCGGUAGGGGAGACUGGAAUUCCUGGUGUAGCGGUGAAAUGCGCAGAUAUCAGGAGGAACACCGGUGGCGAAGGCGGGUCUCUGGGCCGAUACUGACGCUGAGGAGCGAAAGCGUGGGGAGCGAACAGG